rnacentral:rRNA from 1 species
CAUCGUCAGCAUAUUCAGUAUUAAUAUAGACUAUGAUGUGAUAAUAGAAUCCUUGUGGUCACUAGAUUAUACUUGUUUGUAUUAUUUCGUUGGAUAUUGUCGGCGUGCACUUCUCUUCUAGUAGAACGUCGCGACUCGUUGAAUGUUUAUUUAUGACCUAAUUGAUAGCCUUUAAUAUUUUAUUAUAUUGAAAAUCAUUAUUGUYCUGAUAAACUGUUCGACGGUAUUAUUAUGGUAUUGGGCCGCAAUUAUAUGCGUYAGAUUUACCGCAAGCAAGACUUUAUCCUAUUAUUGCGAAUUUAAUGCCGCCCCGGRAAAUGUUCUACGGUUACC